GACGUAGGGCGCGAGCGUUGUCCGGAUUUAUUGGGCGUAAAGAGCUCGUAGGCGGCUUGUCGCGUCGUCCGUGAAAACCUGCAGCUCAACUGCAGGCUUGCGGUCGAUACGGGCAGGCUAGAGUUCGGUAGGGGAGACUGGAAUUCCUGGUGUAGCGGUGAAAUGCGCAGAUAUCAGGAGGAACACCGGUGGCGAAGGCGGUCUCUGGGCCGAUACUGACGCUGAGGAGCGAAAGCGUGGGGAGCGAACAGG
rnacentral:rRNA from 1 species